rnacentral:rRNA from 1 species
AUCUGGGCGGCGGAAUUCAAGACGGCUGGCGGGUCUCGCGCUCGUUCGGCCGUUUGAUAUUUCCGUCGCCGUGUCAGACGUCGCGACCUGUUUGUCGUCGGUCCUUGCUCGGAGGAAUUGCGAUCGAGUUCGUUGCGGGCGCGUUUCGGCGUGCUUCGCGGCGAAGACGCGACUCUCUGGCUGACGACGGACAGUAAGCAACGGUGUCCGGCGCCGUGUCUCGCACUCGGCGUCGGUGCCGGUCAGCGACGAUUUCUUCGGGCCUCUUUCCGACCCGUCUUGAAACACGGACCAAGGAGUCUAACAUGCGCGCGAGUCGCGGGGUUUCGAGCGUACCACGGUGCGCUCGUUACUUCCGAAACCCGUACGUUGAAGGCGUAAUGAAAGUGAAUAGGGAAGAUGGCGUUCCGAGUCCACGUACCGUGAUCGAGUAUCGCGGCCGGACGUCCGCACUCCCGGGGCGUCUCAAUGGUUCGCCACGGAUGCGGACGAUCGUCUUUCGGGGCGGUCGUCGGUCUGUGGCGGUCCGA